UACAAUACAUAUAACAACAAUUCCCAAAAGACCCAGCAAACAAUACAUACAGCAGUACCAAAACGACCCCACUGCCCUGUGCAUCUCCUUCUUCACGGGAGCAGAGAAUUACCAGAAAAUCCCAGCAAAUCCGGCAAGAAAUCUGUGCAAAUAAGCAGAUCCGUCACACCAGUCGCGUCCCUUUUUUCCACAAUUUCAGAAUUUUCCAUCACUUUCACUGUUGACUUGAAAGAACAAAGCAAAGAAUUCGAAUUUUAAAUUAAAAUUUUCAAUCCGUUUUGCCCCUCAAAUCAGCCUCUUUCUUCAUCUAUUUAAGAUCGAUUUUUUCAAUUAAAAAGGAGAGGAAGAAAAAUGGAGAAAGAAAAAAAAAAAAAAAAACACACAGAAAAAAGCUUCAUAAAAAAUUGGUUACUAUAGUAAAAAAAAAGAGAGUUUUGAUUUUUGAGUUAUAAGUUUUCCUUUCGAAACCAUCGGACUUCAUUGGUGGUGGUGGAAUCGCUUCGAACCCGUCGUUUCAGUCUCGCUGCUCAGAAAGAGGUAAUAUUCCGCUUCUCUACUUUCUUAUGUUCUUUAUAUGAUCAAGCGGGGCUUAGAGUAUUUGUAUAUUGUAAUCGGACCUUUAUGUUUGCUUGGUUUGUGUAUAAUGCAUAGUUUAAAAUUAAUUCAAUAUUUUGAUGGCGUCUAAAGAUUUCGUUUUUUUUUUUUUUUUGGUUUUGAUUAAAAUCAAUGCUAGUUCUAUGUGAUUGUUGUUUUCUCCAGAUAUGACCAAAGCAGGAAUAUUGUUGCUAAAAUGACACACUUGUUUUCUUGUGCAUCUUUAGUAUGAGUCAUUUGCCUAGAACUUUUUUUUUUUAUAUUUAAGUUAUAUGUUGGUUGUCAUAUUUAUUAUGAGUUCCUCUGAAGAUGAAGUCUUGCCUAAAUAUUUGUCUAAAUGAAUCCCUACAAGUCAUCCUUAUAAGUACUAUGUUGUUUAAAUAUAUUAAGGCCUAGCAACUAGCAAAUGUGUGUUAAGUUGAGUUUCUUCUCCUUUAUGCAUCUUGUUGACUGUUGUGAAUAUAUAUAUACUUGUUAGUCUAUUACACUCUAAUUGAUUGAAUUUACAUCUUUUGUAACAUAUUUGUGCUUAGAGAAUUUAUUGAAAUGGGUAAAAAGAAAAAAAAUUAUAUUACAUUAGAGAUUGUUCAAAUGCCUCCUAGAACAUACAAUGAUAUGCUUCAACUUAGCACCUUGCUUAUCUAGUGUUGUUUACAUGAUAUUUUUGGCUUAAUUCCCUUUCGGUCGACAACAACAAAUGAUUCAUUUUAAGUGUUUAGUUCCUGCUUUAAUAAUUCAUGUGUGUCUCUGCUUAUUGACUAAAUUUUUAUUUUUAUUUUUAAAAUCUAAUAGUUACCUUGUAUUUGUUCUUCAAGCUGAAAAUACUUUGAAAAAUAAUUGGGGUGUUCCUUGGGGUCUAAUACACGGAGAUGAAUACUUGUUUUAGCAUGUUAGUUAAUUUGAAGUGUUUUUAACCUUUCCUACUAAAGUACUCAAUUUUUGAUGCCUUAUUGUAGUAAUAUUGAAUAGUUCAAUUAACAUCCCUAUUCAUAUGUUGCUACUAUUUCUGCAAAAAAUAAGAGUUGAUAAGCUCACAUUUGAAUUGUUACCAAUAUGGGUAUUAAUAUAUUGCUUGUCAAAAAUACAUCUUUCCCUUACUUAUGCUAAUUUUGCUUCUUUUGUUUGUUGUAUGAACCCCUUCCGAGUCUGUGAUGGACUUGCCUUUCCUUGCAUUAUCGAGUUGAGCCAUAGAGGCUCAAAUUUCUUUUCAUCGUUUGAGUCAGCCUGAUUACCACAAAUAUGAUGAGAUGCAAAAACAUGGGCUGGAAGUUCAGAUUUCAGGUGCCCGGAAAGUUUUAAGAUGGGCUGUAUACACGUUGUAUACAGCCGUAUACGCUGAUAUACAAGUUCGGUACAGCAAACACGGGCCAAAAAAUGCAAAAAUACAAAGAUGAGGUGAAAAACGGGUGCUUGGAAGCAAGAUAUACAUGAAAAACACCUAUACACGUGCCGAUAUACACUGAUAUACAUCAAGUGUAUACAAAAACGGGAAUUGGGUUAAGCCCAAUAGUGGCAGCGAAUUUGGCCCAAAAGGGCCCAAAUUCAUUUCUCCUUCUUUAUUUAUUGUUUGUUUUUAUUAUCAUUAACUCUAACUUUAGAAUUGUUAAUUAAUUUAAUCGAAUUCCCCAAAAGACAAACUAUUUCUCUGUGUUGUUUUAUUUCUAACAAAUCUCAUUUUAUCAA